UACGUAGGGGGCAAGCGUUGUCCGGAUUCACUGGGCGUAAAGCGCGCGCAGGCGGUUUCUCACGUCCGGGGUGAAAGCCCAGAGCUCAACUCUGGGAUUGCCUUGGAUACGGGGAGACUUGAGGAUCGGAGAGGCAAGGGGAAUUCCACGUGUAGCGGUGAAAUGCGUAGAGAUGUGGAGGAACACCUGUGGCGAAGGCGCCUUGCUGGCCGAUUUCUGACGCUGAGGCGCGAAAAGCGUGGGGGAGCAAACAGG
rnacentral:rRNA from 1 species